CAAGAAAUGGACAGCCUCGCAUUCCUGCAGCGGGCGUCCUAGCCGGAUUCUUUGCUGGACACUAUUGGGAAAAUCUGAGACAGUUUCCUAUAAUUAAGAACGCUAACUCGCUAGCUAAAUAGUAAUUUGGUGGUUUUAAAAUAGCUAUGGCUUCGUCUGAUGUUGCUCGGCAGCUGCAGGACAAAAAUGCACGUCCUCUUUCCCUGUCUGGUCAUGUUGGAUUUGACAGCUUGCCGGAUCAACUCGUCAACAAAUCGACAUGUCAAGGCUUCUGUUUUAACAUCCUCUGUAUUGGUGAAACGGGUAUUGGCAAGUCCACCCUGAUGGACACCUUGUUCAACACCAACUUUGAGAACUUUGAGUCCUCCCACUUCGAGCCUAAGGUGAAGCUGCACGCCCAGACCUACGACCUCCAGGAGAGCAACGUCCGGCUGAAACUCACCAUCGUCAACACCGUGGGCUUUGGGGACCAGAUGAACAAGCAGGAGAGCUACCAGCACGUUGUGGACUAUAUCGACACUCAGUUCGAGUCGUACCUGCAGGAGGAGCUGAAGAUCAAGCGCUCUUUGCACAACUACCACGAUUCCCGUAUCCACGCCUGCCUCUACUUCAUCGCCCCCUCCGGACACUCGCUCAAGUCGCUGGACCUGGUCACCAUGAAAAAGCUGGACAGCAAGGUCAACAUUAUUCCAGUGAUUGCCAAGGCAGACACCAUCUCAAAGAGCGAGCUGCACAAGUUUAAGAUCAAGAUCAUGAGCGAGCUGGUGAGCAACGGCGUUCAGAUCUACCAGUUCCCCUUGGACGACGAGACCGUCGCCACUAUCAACACCGCCAUGAACGGUCACCUCCCCUUCGCCGUGGUGGGCAGCACGGAAGAAGUGAAGAUCGGGAACAAAAUGGUGAAAGCUCGACAGUACCCUUGGGGUGUGGUCCAAGUGGAGAACGAGAACCACUGCGACUUUGUGAAGCUGAGGGAGAUGCUGAUCUGUGUGAACAUGGAGGACCUGCGGGAGCAGACCCACACCCGCCACUACGAGCUCUACCGCCGCUGCAAACUGGAGGAGAUGGGCUUCAAAGACACCGACCCCGAGAGCAAGCCAGUGAGCCUGCAGCAGACCUACGAGGCCAAGCGGCAGGAGUUCCUGGGGGAGCUGCAGCGGCGGGAGGAGGAGAUGAGGCAGAUGUUUGUGCAGAGGGUGAAGGAGAAGGAGAUGGAGCUGAAGGAUGCAGAGAGAGAGCUGCAGGGGAAGUUCGAGCAGCUGAAGCGUCUGCACCACGACGAGAAGAGCAAGCUGGAUGAGAAGCGGAAGGCUCUGGAAGACCAGAUCAACACCUUCAGCAAGAAGAAGGCCGCCACGGAGCUGCUCCAGGCACAGUCCUUCAACACCAACGCCAACCUGAAGAAGGACAAGGACCGCAAGAAGUGAGUGAGGGAGGGAGAGUGCGAUCGUGCUCGUCUUCAGCGUGUUCCUGUUCCAUGGGGCUCCGGUUUUAUGUGAAGAAACGUCACCCGUCCAUGGCCCCACUAGUCAAAAACCAAACGCACACCAGCAGCCUACCAUUUUACCCUCUUUGCUUCUCCCACACACUCUUUUUACUUAUUCUUCUGUGUGCAUUUUUUUUUUACCAAGCUGUGGCUGUAUUCCCCUUGGUCAUUUUUAUAUGUUUCUACUACAGUACCAGAAUAUGCAUGUUCUUGUUUUUUUAGCCACUGCCUCUUGGGGGCACCUGCCACAGUGUCCGCGUCCCUGACACUGGGGUGUCACUAGAUGACCCCCCGAGAACGGACAGAAGUCCCGCCCUGUUUACAACGUGCCGUGUUAACACUACCAUGUCAACCACUCAAGGGAACAUCAUGGCCAGUAGGAUUCCUCUGCCCAUGGUGUGUGGUCCUUUCUAGGAUGGCCCCCUAGUGGCAACUCCUGACACUGCCCUGUCACUUCAGAGACAAUUUGUUGUCAUUAAUGUGUGUCGAACGGAUUUGGAAAUCCCUGCCCCAAUUUUGGUGUAGAAGUGACAGUCACAAAGAUACAUGGUCAGUACUAAUCAAAUACACGAGAAUAUAUAUCUAUGUGAAUGUAUAUCUGUUAAUGUGUCAAACUGGGGCUUCAAACUACCUGUGAAAUGUAAUUGUGUCACAGGCCUGAAAGCAGGGAUUAGUUUGUCCAUUCCGUACAGACAGUUGCUACAGGUGCAGGUUUGUAUAUUUGUUGACAUUUUCAGUGGAAAAUCAUGGAACAAUUUGCGCAAAAUAAUUUUGUACUUUUUCUAUUAUUAUUAUUAUUAUUAUUAUUAUUAUUAUUGAGGAAUAGCCUUUUGCAUACUUUUACACCAUGGUGUUUGUAGCCUAAUUAUGCAUUAGUUUAAUUAAACUCAGCAGUGCGAGUGACCCGCACCGCUUCAGAUACGAUCCAUCGUCAACACAAUCAAGGGGAAGCACAUUGGUUUUUUUCUUUCUGUAUUCGUUGGCGAAUAUUUUUUGUUGUUGUUAAAAUAUAUAUCUUGUACCAGUAUAGGUAAUAUUACCUUACACUAUGCAAUUCUUAUGUAGAACAGUAAUUGAAAUGCUUCCUGGUGGCAUGUGCGUUGAAGCGUCUGUGUGCCUUACUGAGGUCAGGGGCAGUCACUGGCAGCUGGGACAGGAGGGAGAGGCAGUAUUAAAUGUGUUCAUACUCUGUGUGAUGUGCAGUUUCAUAUUCAGCGUGUAGUACUCAGGUGACAGGUGGGGCAGGCAAACAUGUCCGUACGCCUCGCGUCUGGGUGUGGGAGAGCUUUCAUGCCAACGCCACUCAAUCACCAAAGAUUCACCGUGUUGUACUAUUUUGUACCCUUGGAAAAAGGCCAAGUAUUUAAGUAAGCAGUGUUACUGGGGGUUAAGGGUGUGUUUAUUACUGAAAAUAAAAUGUUUGAAGUUCUCAGAA